rnacentral:lncRNA from 10 species
CCUUGCUUUUGCUGUCUUGUAAUUUUUUGUUAAAAACUAGACAUGCUAUAUCAGGUAUAUAGGAACUGAGGUAAAUAAGGUAAAUAAGCCUCUAGUGUAAGGAGCUAUGUUAAUCUGGCUAGGAGUUGUGAUUUGAUUAAUGUUUGCUAUUGCUAUAGGUGCUAGAGGCAUCAAAUUUCUCAGUGUUCCUGUUUUUGUCUCCCCUCUUGACUUUGGGCUUCCCAAACAGAAACACUCUGGUUUUUGCAGCUCUUUCCAUUGUAAUUUACUAUUAUACUAGAGCCCUGAUGGUGUAGUGAUAAGACAUUGGGGAUAGGGAGUAUUCUAUAAUCUUCCAAUUAAAUCUCCAUCUUUUAGUGGACCUAUGUCUCUGGCCUGUGACCUUCGCAAGUGUUUCUUUUUGUAUAGCGUCGAUCCUCCCCUUAGAUGACACAAGAAGUGUAGAGGGUGAUGGAGCUAGGUAAUCACUGUUACCCCACAGCUCUGAGACAGAGCUCUGGUAAAAUCUUUCCCCCUAGAGAGUAGACAUUUGUUAUGAAAAAAGCUCUGAGAUGUAGAGAGCAGGGCCUUCUUAAAUUACACAGGCCAGUCAUUGAGUUUACUGAGAAUAGAGUCCACAGACUUAGGGUCCAGGACCAGCUGUCUUUUUAUCUUCAAAAUGGAGCACAAAGUAGCUGACUCCUGCCCAUCACCACACAUACAACUCACAGGAUAUGAGAGAUGCAGUCUAGCAGAGUAUCUUAAGAUCAUGGACUAUUGGGGUCAUGAGUUCCAGUU